rnacentral:rRNA from 1 species
AUGGCUAACGGAAAAUUCUCAGUUAAAUCUCUAUACAUACAACUGGUGGCUUCUGAUCUUAGAUUCCCACAAAAAAAUUUGUGGAAGAUCAAGGUCCCAACUAAGAUUAAACUUUUCCUGUGGUUAGUCAACAAGAAAAGUAUACUCACUAGAGACUCCCUGUUAAAAAAGGGAUGGAAAGGGGAAAGUAAUUGUGUAUUUUGUGGAAAGGAUGAAUCGGUGGAUCAUUUAUUUUUCACGUGUUCGACCGCUUCUGUGAUUUGGAGUUUAGUUAAAUGUUCAUUUGGGCUGAGAAAAACUCCUUCAUCAGUCCAAGAAUGCUUUGGAGAAUGGCUAGACACAUUUAGGGCAAAUGAUAAGAAACUGGUCCUAGUGGGGAUUUCUACAUUAUUUUGGACUUUUGUGGAAAUCUAA